rnacentral:misc_RNA from 1 species
UUUGUUUUUUAAUUAAAAACUAGAAUGAAAGGUUAUACAUUUAAAUUUCUUUAUUAAUUUUUAAUAAAUAAUUUAUAUUAAAUAUUAAAAUAUAUUUAAAAAACAAAAAGACGACAAGACCCUAUUAAAUUUUACUUAUAGUUUAGCUGGGGAAGCUUUUCAAUUAAAAUUUUUUAAAUCUAAUAAAUAAAAAUCUAAUAAAAUUAAAAUUUCAAUAAAUUACUAUAGGGAUAACAGCAUUAUAUUUUUUAAAAGUUCAUAUUAAAAAAAAUGAUUGUGACCUCGAUGUUGAAUUAUAUUUUCUAUAUUAAUGCAAUAAUUAUAAAAGUAGAUCUGUUCGAUCUUUAAAAUAUUACAUGAUUUGAGUUCAAACCGGUGUAAACCAGGUUGGUUUCUAUCUUUUUAUAUAUUUUUCCAGUACGAAAGGACAAAAAAAUUUUUAUUUUAAUAAAUUAGCAAAUAAAUGCAUUAGAUUUAGAAUCUAAAUAUAUUUAGGAAUU